CCUACGGGAGGCUGCAGUGAGGAAUAUUGGUCAAUGGGCGCGAGCCUGAACCAGCCAAGUAGCGUGAAGGAUGACUGUCCUACGGGUUGUAAACUUCUUUUAUAAAGGCAUAAAGUGAGGCACGUGUGCCUGUUUGUAUGUACUUGAUGAAUAAGGAUAGGCUAACUCCGUGCCAGCAGCCGCGGUAAUACGGAGGAUGCGAGCGUUAUCCGGAUUGAGUGGGUUGAAAGGGAGCGGAGAUGGGUUGUUAAGUCAGUAUUGAAAGUUUGCGGCUCAACCGUAAAAUUGCAAUUGAUACUGGCCGUUUUUAGUACGGUUGAGGUAGGCGGAAUGCGUGGUGUAGCGGUGAAAUGCUUUGAUAUCUCGAAGAACUCCGAUUGCGCAGGCAGCUUACUAAACUGCCACUGACAUUGAUGCUCGAAAGUGUGGGUAUCAAACAGGAUUAGAUACCCCAGUAGUC
rnacentral:rRNA from 1 species